rnacentral:lncRNA from 1 species
AAAAUCUGAAAUAAUCAUGAAGAGAAGUUACGGACCUUGUAGUUCUUGCCAUAAUAUGUUGGGCAGAACCAAAUUUCCUCAUCCAUUUCUCAUAAACUGGACUGCUGACAACAGUAGCAGGGCUCAAAUGAAUGAUGCAGUUCACAACCUUGGUUGUCUCUUGGGAGUUACUUUGGGAAUCUGAAUAAUAGGCAUUAAGAGCUUGUGCAGACAGUAACUCUUGUGCAUGAGGUUCUGUUGGACAGUCAACAAUCAGUACAAUGGGACCAGGAAUAGGUGGGCCUAUUACAUCAUCUGGAUGGACCUGAAUGAGGCAAAAUGAAAGUCAGCUGCAAUUUAAUAACGAGGCACAAGAACUGCAGAAACGAAGUGUAUAAUGUAGUUCUAAUGAGUGUAGAACAGACCUCGAUAUCCAGAAGAUCUGACUUCACACUGAUACCAUUUUGCAAUUGUCCAAGCUUUCUCCCCUUUUUGAGUCCGCAAGCUUUAGCCUUUCUGGGGUCAAACUCCCCUCUGAUGUCAUGUAGGUUACAAAUAUAUACAAUGGAGGUAUCAUUUGAACUAAAAUGAGAUCCAUCCAAAUGAGUCGGUGUUAGGAGAAUAGCUGAUAUACUAACUGCCUUGAACUUGCCUUCAGCUUGCAGCUCCUCUGCAUGUAGUGAGGAAGCUAAUGCAGCUCCAUUUCCAUGAACCAUAACAUUGUCACUUCGUGGGAUGAUAUGUGCUUUGACCAUGGUAGCAUGAGGGACAAAAUUCUUCAUUGCGUUAACCAAUAAAUCAAGAUUUGGAGGACCCCAUAUGUCAACCUUAAAAGAC